rnacentral:rRNA from 1 species
UACGUAGGUGGCAAGCGUUGUCCGGAUUUACUGGGCGUAAAGCGCGCGCAGGCGGAUUGGUCAGUCCGGGGUGAAAUCUCACGGCUCAACUGUGAGCGGUCCCCGGAUACUGCCAGUCUCGAGGUGUCUAGAGGAGAGCGGAAUUCCCGGUGUAGUGGUGGAAUGCGCAGAUAUCGGGAGGAACACCGGUGGCGAAGGCGGUUCUCUGGGCCUUACCUGACGCUGAGGAGCGAAAGCGUGGGGAGCGAACAGG